rnacentral:rRNA from 1 species
GACGAACGCUGGCGGCGUGCUUAACACAUGCAAGUCGAACGGAAAGGCCCUGCUUUUGUGGGGUGCUCGAGUGGCGAACGGGUGAGUAACACGUGAGUAACCUGCCCUUGACUUUGGGAUAACUUCAGGAAACUGGGGCUAAUACCGGAUAGGAGCUCCUGCUGCAUGGUGGGGGUUGGAAAGUUUCGGCGGUUGGGGAUGGACUCGCGGCUUAUCAGCUUGUUGGUGGGGUAGUGGCUUACCAAGGCUUUGACGGGUAGCCGGCCUGAGAGGGUGGCCGGCCACAUUGGGCCUGAGAUACGGCCCAGACUCCUACGGGAGGCAGCAGUGGGGAAUAUUGCACAAUGGGCGGAAGCCUGAUGCAGCAACGCCGCGUGCGUGAUGACGGCCUUCGGGUUGUAAACCGCUUUCGCCUGUGACGAAGCGUGAGUGACGGUAAUGGGUAAAGAAGCACCGGCUAACUACGUG